GGCGCUGCAGCGAGCUCAGAGCCUGCGCUCUCCUGCGUCCAACCUGAUGAUCCGGUCGGUGCUGGAGGUCGUUCUGGGCAUCGGAGCUGCCGCGGUGCUCGGGUUUUGUUUUACUUUGGGACUCCUCUUCCUGCAUUCUUUAAGCACUGUCUUCUGCUUCGCUUUCCUGCCUCUCCGUGGACUCCCCAAGGACGCAGAGUGAGCUCUGCAGGCUGGGGCGACCGCGCUUCCCAGGCCCAAAGGCUCAGGGGUGUGCAGAGACUCGGCAGUUCGCACUGAGGUAUGUUUCUGUUCCAAGAUCCAAAUAUGUCAACUAAUUUGGGAAGAGUAGGUGAAAUACUGUGUCUGACCGCUGGCUUCUUGUCAUCUUUCACUGGCAUGUGGUCCAGGAAUCUCUACUAGUGGACUCAGCAUCUCCCACAGCUCUGGAGUUCAGCAUCUCUCUGCAUUGUGGAGGCUUUCGUUCUAGAGGCUGGGUGGAGUGACUCUCCUCCAAGUAUCUCCAGCACAUCUCCUACUCUAACUGGCCAUGUUGGAAUCUACGGUUAUAUCCAUUGACUGGGAAGUUAUAAAAUGUUUAUGUAGAAGCACUUGAGGGAUCAAACUCAUGAUGUCCGGCUUGCCAGGCACAUGCUUAUGCUGCUAAGCUAAAUCUCCAGUCCAUGAUCCUGCAUGAAUGGAAUUCAAAUACAUGGUUAAUGCACUGAAGAUACUUACAAUUACCUGACAGAACUCUGUGGUGUCUGUUUCCCUGUCACUGAUAAACUGCUGAUGAUCAUUCAUAUUAGACCAGUUGGCAGCCCGAUACUCUGAUGACUUUACUGUCUUUCAUCUGACACUUUUAUAAUGUUUAUUGUUUUGACUAUUAAAAGGAAUCUUCAAAUGAA